rnacentral:rRNA from 1 species
CACCGCGGUUAUACGAGAGGCCCAAGUUGAUAGAUGCCGGCGUAAAAAGUGGUCAGUAUAAUGUUACACUAAAGCCAAACACCUUCAAAGCUGUCAUACGCAAUCGAAGGCAGGAAGCUCCUCCACAAAAGUGGCUUUAAACCAUACAAUCCACGAAAGCUAGGGAA